CCUACGGGAGGCAGCAGUGGGGAAUAUUGCACAAUGGGGGAAACCCUGAUGCAGCGACGCCGCGUGAGUGAAGAAGUAUUUCGGUAUGUAAAGCUCUAUCAGCAGGGAAGAAACUGACGGUACCUGAUUUAGAAGCCACGUCUAACUACGUGCCAGCAGCCGCGGUAAUACGUAGGGGGCAGGCGUUAUCCGGAUUUACUGGGUGUAAAGGGGGCGUAGACGGCAGCACAAGUCUGGAGUGAAAUGCCGGGGCUUAACCCCGGAACAGCUUUGUAAACUGUGCAGCUAGAGUGCAGGAGAGGUAAGUGGAAUUCCUAGUGUAGCGGUGAAAUGCGUAGAUAUUAGGAGGAACACCAGUGGCGAAGGCGGCUUACUGGACUGUAACUGACGUUGAGGCUCGAAAGCGUGGGGAGCAAACAGGAUUAGAUACCCGAGUAGUC
rnacentral:rRNA from 1 species